rnacentral:lncRNA from 1 species
ACUUUUGAUCUUGUUGACAACUUGAGAAUCAAAAGUUUCCGAAUGUUGCCUUAGCUACAUGGUCCGCACAUCCACCAUCAGCAUCCACAAUAAAGCACAAUCAUGGGAGCAUCCAUGUUCGUGAUAGCUUGCCCAUGAUGAGACUAUAUUUUCCUUUAGCUACAAGGUAAAUCUCUUUUGCCUUGGCCAACCCAACUACAAAUGUGAUGAAAGACAUGAUACCUCGUAACCAGUGGCCAUAGCUUGUUGAAUUCAGAAUGGUGGCGAGUUUAACACAAAACAGUUUGG